GCCUAAGGUAUGCAAGUCGAAUGCCGAUUUAUCGGCAUGGCAGACGGCUGAGUAACACAUGGGAAUCUACCUCAAACUCGAGAAUAGCCCAUCGAAAGGUGGUGUAAUACUCGAUAGCUCCGUUUACGGUAAAGCUCCGGCGGUUUGAGAUGAGCCCAUGUCCUAUCAGGUUGUUGGUGGGGUAAUUGCCUACCAAGCCUAUGACGGGUAGCUGGUUUGAGAGGAUGAUCAGCCAGACUGGGACUGCGAUACGGCCCAGACUCCUACGGGAGGCAGCAACUAGGAAUCAUGCGCAAUGGACGAAAGUCUGACGCUGCGACGUCGCGUGAGGGAUGAAGGUCUUAGGAUCGUAAACCUCUUUUAUCUGGGAACAAGUUCUGAGUGUACCAGAUGAAUAAGUGCCUGCCAACCACGUGCCAGAAGCAUCGGUAAUGCGUGGGGCACGAGCGUUAUCCGGAUUUACUGGGCGUAAAGAGAUGCGUAGGCGCCUUUUUAAGUCACUUGUAAAAUCUCCCCGCUCAACGGGGAAACUGCAAGUGAUACUGAAUUGGUUGAGUCAAGUAGAGGAGAGGGGAAUUCCUGGUGGAGCGGUUAAAUGCGUUGAUAUCAGGAGGAAUACCAAGUGCGAAGGCACCUCUCUGGACUUGUACUGACGCUAAGGCUCGAAAGUGUGGGGAGCAAAACGGAUUAGAUACCCGUGUAGUCCACACUGUAAACGAUCCCUGCUAGAUGUUUGC
rnacentral:rRNA from 1 species